UCCACUUUCUAAGUUUCAAGACCGUUUUCAUCACCGACCAACAACAUGCUGCUGACUCUCUGCCCUCUCAUCGCCGCUCUAGCAUGUGUGAGCGGUGUGACGGUGUUAACACAGCAGCCUCUGGUUAUGUCCAUGGGGAGAGGGGAGACAGCCAGCAUGGACUGUAACCUGGGAACUGUUACUAACAGUGAGGUUCGUUGGUAUAAACAGAUUCCAGGAGGGGUUCCUCAGUUUGUCUUAUAUUUCAUGUACAGCUCUAGCAGUCCAACCUAUGGCUCUGGUGUCUCCUCAUCAAAGUUCACAUGUACUCAUCAGUCACAAUCAGAUUAUCGUUUGAUAAUCAAGAACGUGGAGGAGGGAGACUCAGCAGACUAUUACUGUCAAACAUGGGACAACUCUGUUAAUAACUGGGUAUCACAGUGA